rnacentral:rRNA from 1 species
UACGGAGGGUGCGAGCGUUGUCCGGAAUCACUGGGCGUAAAGGGCGCGUAGGCGGCAUGCCAAGCGUGUGGUGAAAGCCCGGGGCUCAACCCCGGGUCGGCCGUGCGGACUGGCGUGCUCGAGCACUGUAGGGGCGGGUGGAAUUCCGGGUGUAGCGGUGGAAGUGCGUAGAGAUCCGGAAGAACACCGGUGGCGAAGGCGGCCCGCUGGGCAGGAAGGCUCGCAAGAGCCGGCUGACGCUGAGGCGCGACAGCGUGGGGAGCAAACAGG